rnacentral:rRNA from 1 species
UUGGAGGGCAAGUCUGGUGCCAGCAGCCGCGGUAAUUCCAGCUCCAAUAGCGUAUAUUAAAGUUGUUGCAGUUAAAAAGCUCGUAGUUGAAUUUCGGGGUCAGCAGGCUGGUCGUGCCUAUGGUAUGAACUGGCUUCGCUGGUCUCUCCUUUCUGAAGAACUGUAAUGCCAUUAAUUUGGUGUUGCAGGGACACAGGACUGUUACUUUGAAAAAAUUAGAGUGUUUAAAGCAGGCUAACGCUUGAAUACAUUAGCAUGGAAUAAUGAAAUAGGACGUUCGAACCUAUUUUGUUGGUUUCUAGGAUUGACGUAAUGAUUAAUAGGGAUAGUUGGGGGCAUUAGUAUUCAAUUGUCAGAGGUGAAAUUCUUGGAUUUAUUGAAGACUGACUACUGCGAAAGCAUUUGCCAAGGAUGUUUUCAUUAAUCAAGAACGAAAGUUAGGGGAUCGAAGACGGUCAGAUACCGUCGUAGUCUUAACCAUAAACUAUGCCGACUAGGGAUCGGAUGAUGUUAAUUUUUUAAUGACUCAUUCGGCGCCUUACGGGAAAC